rnacentral:rRNA from 1 species
AUUGAACGCUGGCGGCAGGCUUAACACAUGCAAGUCGAGCGGUAACAGAGAGAAGCUUGCUUCUCUGCUGACGAGCGGCGGACGGGUGAGUAAUGCCUAGGAAUCUGCCUAGUAGUGGGGGAUAACUUGCCGAAAGGUAAGCUAAUACCGCAUACGUCCUACGGGAGAAAGGAGGGGACCUUCGGGCCUUUCGCUAUUAGAUGAGCCUAGGUCGGAUUAGUUAGUUGGUGAGGUAAUGGCUCACCAAGACCGCGAUCCGUAACUGGUCUGAGAGGAUGAUCAGUCACACUGGAACUGAGACACGGUCCAGACUCCUACGGGAGGCAGCAGUGGGGAAUAUUGGACAAUGGGGGAACCCUGAUCCAGCCAUGCCGCGUGUGUGAAGAAGGUCUUAGGAUUGUAAAGCACUUUAAGUUGGGAGGAAGAGCAGUUAACUAAUAUUUGACUGUUUUGACGUUACCGACAGAAUAAGCACCGGCUAACUUCGUG